rnacentral:rRNA from 1 species
UUUGAUUCUGGCUCAGAUUGAACGCUGGCGGGAUGCUUUACAUGCAAGUCGAACGGCAGCACGGACUUCGGUCUGGUGGCGAGUGGCGAACGGGUGAUGUGUAUCGGAACGUGCCUAGUAGCGGGGGGAUAACUACGCGAAAGCGUAGCUAUGCAUACGCCCUUCGGGGGAAAGCGGGGGACCUUCGGGCCUCGCACUAUUAGAGCGGCCGAUAUCGGAUUAGCUAGUUGGUGGGAGGUAACGGCUCACCAAGGCGACGAUCCGUAGCUGGUUUGAGAGGACGACCAGCCACACACUGGGACUGAGACACGGCCCAGACUCCUGCGGGAGGCAGCAGUGAAAUUUUGGACAAUGGAAACCCUGAUCCAGCCAUCCCGCGUGUGCGAUGAAGGCCUUCGGGUUGUAAAGCACUUUUGGCAGGAAAGAAACGGCACGGGAUAAUACCCCCGUGCAACUGACGGUACCUGCAGAAUAAGCACCGGCUAACUACGUGCCAACAGCCGCGGUAAGUGCAAGCGUUAAUCGGAAUUACUGGGCGUAAAGCGUGCGCAGGCGGUUCGGAAAGAAAGAUGUGAAAUCCCAGAGCUUAACUUUGGAACUGCAUUUUUAACUACCGAGCUAGAGUGUGUCAGAGGAGGUGGAAUUCCGCGUGUAGCAGUGAAAUGCGUAGAUAUGCGGAGGAACACCGAUGGCGAAGGCAGCCUCUAUAGGUCUUUACCCCGGCGCUCAUGCACAGCAACGUGGGAGCAAACGAAGGAUUAAAUACCCUGGUGAUCCGCGCCCUAAACGAUGUCAACUAGCUGUUAUGGCCUUCGGGCCUUGGUAAGCGCGGCUAACGCGUGAGUUGACCGCCUGGGAAGUACGGUCGCAAGAUUAAAACUCAAAGGAAUUGACGGGGACACAAGCAGUGGAUGAUGUGGAUUAAUUCGAUGCAACGCGAAAACCUUACCUACCCUUGACAUGUCUGGAAUCCCGAAGAGAUUUGGGAGUGCUCGCAAAGAACCGGAACACAGGUGCUGCAUGGCUGUCGUCAGCUCGUGUCGUGAGAUGUUGGGUUAAGUCCCGCAACGAGCGCAACCCUUGUCAUUAGUUGCUACGAAAGAGGGCACUCUAAUGAGACUGCCGGUGACAAACCGGAGGAAGGUGGGGAUGACGUCAAGUCCUCAUGGCCCAUAUGGGUAGGGCUUCACACGUCAUACAAUGGUCGGGACAGAGGGUCGCCAACCCGCGAGGAGCCAAUCCCAGAGCGGUCACGUAGUCCGGAUCGCAGUCUGCAGCUCGACUGCGUGAAGUCGGAAUCGCUAGUAAUCAUGGAUCAGCAUGUCGCGGUGAAUACGUUCCGGGUCUUGUACACACCGCCCGUCACACCAUGGGAGUGGGUUUACCAGAAGUAGUUAGCCUAACCGUAAGGAGGGCGAUUACCACGGUAGGAUUCAUGACUGGGGUGAAGUCGUAACAAGGUAG